UACGUAGGGGGCAAGCGUUGUCCGGAUUUAUUGGGCGUAAAGAGCGUGUAGGCGGCUUUACAGGUCCGUUGUGAAAACUCGAGGCUCAACCUCGAGACGCCGGUGGAAACCGUAAAGCUAGAGUCCGGAAGAGGAGAGUGGAAUUCCUGGUGUAGCGGUGAAAUGCGCAGAUAUCAGGAGGAACACCGGUGGCGAAGGCGGGUCUCUGGGCCGUAACUGACGCUGAGGAGCGAAAGCAUGGGGAGCGAACAGG
rnacentral:rRNA from 1 species